GGCUACAGGACGAACGCUGGCGGCGUGCUUCAUACAUGCAAGUCGAACGAUAAGGUCUCUUCGGAGAUACAUAAGUGGCGGACGGGUGAGUAAAAUGUAGAGAAUCUGCCCUAGAGAUGGGGACAACAGUUGGAAACGACUGCUAAUACCCAAUAUGAGCGUAGUUGAAAUACUAUUCUUGAAAACUCCGGUGCUCUGGGAUGAGUCUGCAUCUGAUUAGCUAGUUGGAGGUGUAAUGGACCACCAAGGCGACGAUCAGUAGCUGGUUUGAGAGGAUGAUCAGCCACAAUGGGACUGAGACACGGCCCAUACUCCUACGGGAGGCAGCAGUAGGGAAUUUUGCGCAAUGGGGGAAACCCUGACGCAAGCAACGCCGCGUGAAUGAAGAAGCCCUUCGGGGUGUAAAGUUCUGUCAGUAGGGAAGAAUAAAUGACUGUACCUACAGAGGAAGCAUCGGCUAACUCCGUGCCAGCCGCCGC
rnacentral:rRNA from 1 species